rnacentral:rRNA from 1 species
UCUGACUCAGGACGAACGCUGGCGGCGUGCUUAACACAUGCAAGUCGAACGGUGAAGGUGGAGCUUGCUCUGCUGGAUCAGUGGCGAACGGGUGAGUAACACGUGAGUAACCUGCCCCUCACUUCGGGAUAACCUCGGGAAAUCGUGGCUAAUACCGGAUACGAGGCACCUUCGCAUGGGGUGUGCCUGGAAAGAUUUAUCGGUGGGGGAUGGACUCGCGGCCUAUCAGCUUGUUGGUGGGGUAAUGGCCCACCAAGGCGACGACGGGUAGCCGGCCUGAGAGGGCGACCGGCCACACUGGGACUGAGAUACGGCCCAGACUCCUACGGGAGGCAGCAGUGGGGAAUAUUGCACAAUGGGCGCAAGCCUGAUGCAGCGACGCCGCGUGGGGGAUGAAGGCCUUCGGGUUGUAAACCCCUUUCAGCAGGGAAGAAGCGAGAGUGACGGUACCUGCAGAAGAAGCGCCGGCUAACUACGUGCCAGCAGCCGCGGUAAUACGUAGGGCGCAAGCGUUGUCCGGAAUUAUUGGGCGUAAAGAGCUCGUAGGCGGUUUGUCGCGUCUGGUGUGAAAACUCAAGGCUCAACCUUGAGCUUGCACCGGGUACGGGCAGACUAGAGUGCGGUAGGGGUGACUGGAAUUCCUGGUGUAGCGGUGGAAUGCGCAGAUAUCAGGAGGAACACCGAUGGCGAAGGCAGGUCACUGGGCCGCAACUGACGCUGAGGAGCGAAAGCAUGGGGAGCGAACAGGAUUAGAUACCCUGGUAGUCCAUGCCGUAAACGUUGGGCACUAGGUGUGGGGCUCAUUCCACGAGUUCCGUGCCGCAGCAAACGCAUUAAGUGCCCCCCGCCCUGGG